rnacentral:tRNA from 1 species
UGGAGGAUUAGCUCAGCUGGGAGAGCAUCUGCCUUACAAGCAGAGGGUCGGCGGUUCGAACCCGUCAUCCUCCAUCC